rnacentral:rRNA from 1 species
UACGUAGGGGGCAAGCGUUGUCCGGAUUCAUUGGGCGUAAAGAGCGUGUAGGCGGCCAGGUAGGUCCGGUUGUGAAAACUGGAGGCUCAACCUUCAGAGGUCGACCGAAACCAUCUGGCUAGAGUCCGGGAGAGGAGAGUGGAAUUCCUGGUGUAGCGGUGAAAUGCGCAGAUAUCAGGAAGAACACCCGUGGCGAAAGCGGCUCUCUGGAACGGUACUGACGCUGAGACGCGAAAGCGUGGGGAGCGAACAGG